rnacentral:rRNA from 1 species
AUGGGGCCACCAUCCCGGCAGGGAGGCGCCUCGGCGGGAGCACGGUGUCCACCCGUCAUGACCGAGAUUCCAAAUUGCAGUUUCAAACUUCGGGCCCCAAGACGUGGGACUGGCAUUGUUUCUUUUCUCAGGGGCGCGGGAGGAGAGACGCACCGGACGGUUUCCCUCAUGGACUCGCCGGAUUUCCGCCGGCGAGAAUCCGAGGACAAUGAGACUUGUCCGAGAAGGUUUGCUGCUGCUGAUGGUGCGCCUCCUCCAGCAAUUUUCUCGACGCCAGACCAUGGCGUUGGAACUUCGGCCAGCAGUGGUUCAAAAUUUCCCAUAGCCGAUGAUAACUCAUUGGUGCGUCAUCCGGCGAUGCACUCAUCCAUAUUGAUGCCGCCGUGUACUGUUGAACCAAGGGAGAUGAUGACACCGGAUCCCAGCGCAAGAUACAUACACGGUGAGCAAGUCCGUGAAGAUUUUGUGCCAAAGACAAAUAUGGGUUUCGUCACCGAGGAGGAAGGGUAUGACUUUUAUCUACAAUAUGCAAGAGAAGCUGGUUUUGGUAUUACGAAGCUCAGGAGGAAACCGAUGUCGCGUCUAUAUGCAUGCUCCCGAGAAGGUACUUCUACAUUUUACAAGCCCGGGGAGGAACGGAAACGUGCAAAGAUGUCAAAGAGAGUUAACUGUAAGGCAGCGUUUAAGAUGAAGAAAAGAGGGAAAGAAUGGAUAUAUGAGAAAGUACUAUUGGAGCACAAUCAUACCCUAAAUCCUGAGCCAUGGGAGUUGAAGCACAUGCGUUCACACAAGAACAAAGACCCUGCUAUCAUGGAAUUCGUUGAUGAUCUGCAGAUGUGCGACGUCUCUCCUAAUGCCACCAUGAAUGUGUUGACCAAGUUCCAUGGCAACCGUGAGAACAUGCCAUGGACUGAACGUGACAUGCAAAAUAGAAAAGCUGAAAAUGUGCGUAAGGAGCGAGCGGAUGAUGUUAAAAAACUAAAGGCUUUCUUCAACGAGUGCAGAGCACAGAAUAGUAAGUUUUAUUAUGACAUAGAACAUGACUCCGAGGGUGCUCCGAAGAAUAUAUUUUGGAGUCAUGCUAGCUGCCAGGCUAACUAUGCUGAGUUUGGUGAUGUGGUUACUUUUGAUACAACAUAUAAGUGCAAUUUUUACAAUAAGCCAUUAGCAAUGUUUGUUGGGAGCAACCACCAUUUGCAGAAUGUCAUUUUUGGUUUUGCACUCCUCGGUGAUGAGAAGGAGGAAACAUUUGAUUGGGUUUUUCGCACUUUCAAAAUGUGCAUGGAAAACAAAGAACCUCAUUGCAUACUUACAGAUCAAGACCAAGCAAUGGCAAAUGCUCUUCCGGGAGUGUUUCCAAACACUAUUCAUAGGCUAUGCAGAUGGCAUGUUUUGCAUGGUCACAAAGACGGCUUGAAGGUGUUGUAUAACUUGUAUGAUGGUUUGAAAGAGAAGUUGUUGACAAUAAUAAAUCAUCCCCUCACCCCCAUGGAGUUUGAGAAGGCGUGGAUGGAGAUGGUGAAUGAAUAUGGACUCGAGUCAGAUCCUACAAUUGGCAGUUUGUAA